rnacentral:rRNA from 1 species
AACGUAGGAGGCGAGCGUUAUCCGGAUUUACUGGGCGUAAAGAGCGCGCAGGCGGCUUGGCAAGUCGGGUGUGAAAUCCCGGGGCUCAACCCCGGGACUGCAUUCGAUACUGUCAGGCUAGAGGUAGGUAGGGGAGAUCGGAAUUCCUGGUGUAGCGGUGAAAUGCGCAGAUAUCAGGAGGAACACCGGUGGCGAAGGCGGAUCUCUGGGCCUUACCUGACGCUCAGGCGCGAAAGCUAGGGGAGCGAACAGG